CAUGACAUUUAGUGAUGAUGU
rnacentral:miRNA from 1 species